rnacentral:rRNA from 1 species
GACGAACGCUGGCGGCGUGCUUAACACAUGCAAGUCGAACGGAAAGGCCCUGCUUUUGUGGGGUGCUCGAGUGGCGAACGGGUGAGUAACACGUGAGUAACCUGCCCUUGACUUUGGGAUAACUUCAGGAAACUGGGGCUAAUACCGGAUAGGAGCUCCUGCUGCAUGGUGGGGGUUGGAAAGUUUCGGCGGUUGGGGAUGGACUCGCGGCUUAUCAGCUUGUUGGUGGGGUAGUGGCUUACCAAGGCUUUGACGGGUAGCCGGCCUGAGAGGGUGACCGGCCACAUUGGGACUGAGAUACGGCCCAGACUCCUACGGGAGGCAGCAGUGGGGAAUAUUGCACAAUGGGCGGAAGCCUGAUGCAGCAACGCCGCGUGCGGGAUGACGGGCUUCGGGUUGUAUACCGCUUUCGCCUGUGACGAAGCGUGAGUGACGGUAAUGGGUAAAGAAGCACCGGCUAACUACGUG